rnacentral:rRNA from 1 species
GGUGCUGAUGGCGUCGAAGGUACACCCGUUCCCAUCUCGAACACGGUAGUUAAGCUCGACAACGCUGAAGGUACUUGUCUGGUGACGGCCUGGGAGAAUAGGAAAG